AACGAACGCUGGCGGCAUGCCUAACACAUGCAAGUCGAACGAGACCUUCGGGUCUAGUGGCGCACGGGUGCGUAACGCGUGGGAACCUGCCCUUAGGUUCGGAAUAACUCCCCGAAAGGGGUGCUAAUACCGGAUAAUGUCUUCGGACCAAAGAUUUAUCGCCUUUGGAUGGGCCCGCGUUGGAUUAGCUAGUUGGUAGGGUAAAAGCCUACCAAGGAGACGAUCCAUAGCUGGUCGGAGAGGAUGAUCAUCCACACUGGGACUGAGACACGGCCCAGACUCCGACGGGAGGCAGCAGUGGGGAAUAUUGGACAAUGGGCGAAAGUCUGAUACAGCAAUGCCGCGUGAGUGAUGAAGGCCUUAGGGUUGUAAAGCUCUUUUACACGGGAUGAUAAUGACAGUACCGGGAGAAUAAGCUCCGGCUAACUCCGUG
rnacentral:rRNA from 1 species